CACUUAUUCAUGUGAGCUCACGAGUUCACAAGUGAGAUCUAAUGUAAAUAUAUAUGUCUCCGGUCACAUAUGAAUAGCAAUUACACCGUGCCGUGCGACAAAUUUUUGUUCUGUCUAUUCAUAAUUUUGAUAAUGUCAUGACAAAAUGUGAAUUUACUCAGAAAUUUGCUCUUAUCGAUUUAGCGCAUAAAGAAAAAGGAAACAUAUAAAACGGAAUUUAAGAAUUCUCCUUCAUUCUAUCUCGCCAUUUUUCGACAACUACUUACUAAGCCAAGUGACAAAAAGAAAUCAAUCUGAAACAUUAAGUAUACUAAAGAUUAUUAGUUGAAUGAUAAAUUCAAAAGCGCAAGAAGUAAUCGCAGGCAGCAGGCGAGCGUUAUUGGCGUUAUUGAACUUUAUUCUGUAGGGUUAUCGCGUGAUAAUAUUUGCGCUGAAAAUUAUUCAAAAAAUGUUGCUAGUCAUAAUCUUAUAUAUAUUUUAGAUGUCAAGUGGCACUCACGACGUAAGAUAUUGACGCCUGCAUUUCAUUUCAAUGUCUUGCGAAAGUAUGUUGAUGUUUUAAUUGAGGAGGGACAACGCAUGACCAAGACCUUAAAGGUUGUCGGUGGAACUACUGAAAAGAAUGUAUUUACAUUUGCUUCUGAACAUACGCUGAAUGCAAUAUGUGGUAAAUUAUGAGAUAUUUUUAUUAUUGAUAAUUACUGGUUGUCCCAGACAUAGACAAAUUGCGUAAGAGCGUUGAACGUAUUGAGGUGAAUAAAACUACCCUGUACCAUUUUAUAAACAACAGGUACAAAAGAACAACAGCUGCCAUUUAUUUGUAUAUUAGACUACUCUGAACAAAAAAGUCGUUUACCAUUUUGCAAAUAAUAUACUAAAUUUUCAGUUGUGAAUUAAAAAAACACCUAUAUAUGGCUAUUUUCCGCACUUAAUUACUUAAAGUUUUGCAUAUUGUUUGC